GUACGUUAGCGACAGAAGAAGACACCGGCUAACUCCGUGCCAGCAGCCGCGGUAAGUACGGAGGGUGCGAGCGUUAAUCGGAAUUACUGGGCGUAAAGACGCAUGCAGGUGGUUUGUUAAGUUCAGAUGUGAAAGACCCGGGGCGUCAACCUCCGGAAAUUGCAUUUGUAAACUAGGCAGACUAGAGUACUGUAGAGGGGGGUAGGAAGUUUCUAGGUGUAGCGGUGAAAUAGCGUAGAGAUCUGAAGGAAUACCGGUGGCGAAGGCGGCCCCCUCGGACAGAUACUGACACUCAGAUGCGAAAGCGUGGGGAGCAAACAGGAUUAGAUACCCUGGUAG
rnacentral:rRNA from 1 species